AUUGAACGCUGGCGGCAGGCUUAACACAUGCAAGUCGAGCGGGGUGAUGGUGCUUGCACUAUCACUUAGCGGCGGACGGGUGAGUAAUGCUUAGGAAUCUGCCUAUUAGUGGGGGACAACAUCUCGAAAGGGAUGCUAAUACCGCAUACGUCCUACGGGAGAAAGCAGGGGAUCACUUGUGACCUUGCGCUAAUAGAUGAGCCUAAGUCGGAUUAGCUAGUUGGUGGGGUAAAGGCCUACCAAGGCGACGAUCUGUAGCGGGUCUGAGAGGAUGAUCCGCCACAAUGGGACUGAGACACGGCCCAGAAUCCUACGGGAGGCAGCAGGGGGGAAUAUUGGACAAUGGGGGGAACCCUGAUCCAGCCAUGCCGCGUGUGUGAAGAAGGCCUUAUGGUUGUAAAGCACUUUAAGCGAGGAGGAGGCUCUUUUGGUUAAUACCCAAGAUGAGUGGACGUUACUCGCAGAAUAAGCACCGGCUAACUCUGUGCCAGCCGCCGCCGUAA
rnacentral:rRNA from 1 species